GGGGGGGGGGGGGGGGGGGGGGAGGAGGGGCGGGGCGGGGGGGGGAAGGGGGGGGGGUCGUGGAUGCAGCGGCGGACGGGUGAGGAAGGGGUAGGAAGGUGGCUGGGAGGGGGGGAGAGCGUGCGGAAACGGGGGCGCAGACGGCGUACGGCAUGAGGGAGGAAGUGGGGCAGCAUCGGACCUCAGUCUAUCAGAUGAGCCUAGGUCGGAUUAGCUAGUUGGUGGGGUAAAGGCCUACCAAGGCGACGAUCCGUAACUGGUCUGAGAGGAUGAUCAGUCACACUGGAACUGAGACACGGUCCAGACUCCUACGGGAGGCAGCAGUGGGGAAUAUUGGACAAUGGGCGAAAGCCUGAUCCAGCCAUGCCGCGUGUGUGAAGAAGGUCUUCGGAUUGUAAAGCACUUUAAGUUGGGAGGAAGGGCAGUAAGUUAAUACCUUGCUGUUUUGACGUUACCAACAGAAUAAGCACCGGCUAACUUCGUG
rnacentral:rRNA from 1 species